AACGAACGCUGGCGGCAUGCCUAACACAUGCAAGUCGAACGAGACCUUCGGGUCUAGUGGCGCACGGGUGCGUAACGCGUGGGAACCUGCCCUUAGGUUCGGAAUAACUCCCCGAAAGGGGUGCUAAUACCGGAUAAUGUCUUCGGACCAAAGAUUUAUCGCCUUUGGAUGGGCCCGCGUUGGAUUAGCUAGUUGGUAGGGUAAAAGCCUACCAAGGCGACGAUCCAUAGCUGGUCUGAGAGGAUGAUCAGCCACACUGGGACUGAGACACGGCCCAGACUCCUACGGGGGGCAGCAGUGGGGAAUAUUGGACAAUGGGCGAAAGCCUGAUCCAGCAAUGCCGCGUGAGUGAUGAAGGCCUUAGGGUUGUAAAGCUCUUUUACCCGGGAUGAUAAUGACAGUACCGGGAGAAUAAGCUCCGGCUAACUCCGU
rnacentral:rRNA from 1 species